AAGACUUUAAGUUAAAAAAACUAUCAGCCUUCAAAGUUGAAAAUAAAAUAUCUUAAAUUAAGUUUUA
rnacentral:tRNA from 1 species